rnacentral:rRNA from 1 species
UGGGAAUUUUGGACAAUUGGGCGAAAGCCUGAUCCAGCAAUGCCGCGUGUGUGAAGAAGGCCUUCGGGUUGUAAAACACUUUUGUCCGGAAAGAAAUCCUUGGCUCUAAUACAGUCGGGGGAUGACGGUACCGGAAGAAUAAGCACCGGCUAACUACGUGCCAGCAGCCGCGGUAAUACGUAGGGUGCAAGCGUUAAUCGGAAUUACUGGGCGUAAAGCGUGCGCAGGCGGUUUGCUAAGACCGAUNUGAAAUCCCCGGGCUCAACCGGGGAACUGCAUUGGUGACUGGCAGGCUAGAGUAUAGCAGAGGGGGGUAGAAUUCCACGUGUAGCAGUGAAAUGCGUAGAGAUGUGGAGGAAUACCGAUGGCGAAGGCAGCCCCCUGGGCCAAUACUGACGCUCAUGCACGAAAAGCGUGGGGGA